ACGAACGCUGGCGGCAUGCCUCACACCUGCAAGUCGAACGCGACCUUCGGGUCUAGUGGCGCACGGGUGCGUAACGCGUGGGAACCUGCCCUUAGGUUCGGAAUAACUCCCCGAAAGGGGUGCUAAUACCGGAUAAUGUCUUCGGACCAAAGAUUUAUCGCCUUUGGAUGGGCCCGCGUUGGAUUAGCUAGUUGGUAGGGUAAAAGCCUACCAAGGCGACGAUCCAUAGCUGGUCUGAGAGGAUGAUCAGCCACACUGGGACUGAGACACGGCCCAGACUCCUACGGGAGGCAGCAGUGGGGAAUAUUGGACAAUGGGCGAAAGCCUGAUCCAGCAAUGCCGCGUGAGUGAUGAAGGCCUUAGGGUUGUAAAGCUCUUUUACCCGGGAUGAUAAUGACAGUACCGGGAGAAUAAGCUCCGGCUAACUCCGUG
rnacentral:rRNA from 1 species